GGAUCAGAAACCCAGUGACAAAACUCGGGUCUGCAUCUGCCAUUUUCCAGUGGGAAAGAGAAAUUGCCCUAUAUUUAUCAGAAACAGUAGCUAGCUCAUCCACCAUGGCAGAAGAGGAAGAUCCAGACUGUUGAUUGGGAAACAAGAACAAACAAUGAGGCAUGAGGAUUGGGUGUUGAGGGAUCACUUGUCACAUUGUCCAAGUCCAACAGGAGUGCAUCCCUCGGGCCAUCCGGUGCAUGGACAUCCUGUGCCAGUGUGAUCGGAGCACAAGCCUCCAGUUGUAGAGACUACAGCAGAUCGAGCCUGUGGACGGACAGCUCAUCAAAUGUGAUACAAUAUUGUGUAAAACAUUGAAUUUGUCGAUGCAUCGAAAUUUUGACUAUAUUACCUCUUUUCCAAAUGUUUUAGACAUGACACGUGAAAUAGGGAGCAUCAGGCUCACUCCACAAGAAGCAGUGUAUGAUCAACACUACCCUCAGCAAGGAGAUCUGAUGGAAGUGAUCUCUCUCUUUCACUCUGGGGAUACAGGCAGGGAUGACUGGGGCCUUCAGCAAGUAAAACACAUGGG